UUACCUUAUUUUUAAAGCUUCAGAGAGGUCUACCUGACCCCCUCUCAACAAUAGCCAUCCACACUGAUCCCAUCUUCCAGAAAGACUUAUACUUGAAGGGGAAACCUUAAACUUCGGUUCCAACCACUAGCCUACCACUGUUUUACAUGUACUGUCUGUCUGUAGAUAUAUAGGUCCCAUUUUAGGAUUUCAUUCCUUUUUCCAUGUCUUUGGUAGCUCACCUCUUCAAUCAGAUAUGCUAACUUAAGGCACAGUGAGUUGGAUGAUGGACUUUGAGCAACUUGAAAGGGCAAAAUGAAGCAUGUGAGACCUAAAUUCUCCCUAAUGGCGACCCAUGGCUUUUACAGGGAGAGGUGAAGGAUUUUCUAGUGUCAGUAACCACCAAGGUUUGAGAUCUUUGGAUGCAUCUGAAAGCAAGUUCAUGAACAAUUCACCUCCAAAUCCAAUGAUCAGACAAUGAGGGCUUCUGCUUGGUUAUGUCAGAAGCUUUUCACUUGAGACACAAGUAAAAAGAGGUAGUUUAUUGCAUAAGAAAAAAGCUGCACUUGUUUACAGGGAUGAUUUACAAAUUACAGAAACUGGCUUUUUCUUGUUUACUAGUUUGGUAAUUUGCAAAAAUUUAAUAUAAUGUCAAAUUUAUAUUAUUUUCCAAAAAAAAUAAAUCUUGUACAAUUAUAUCAGCAGAAAAAGGUUCAUUGCUAGCCCAGUAGUUCAAUGCCCAUCUUGUAAUACUUGGAGAUGAAAAGUUUCCCUUCAAAAUUUUCUGAUAAACUAGAGAGAAGAAAAAAAAAAAGCACAAGAACCCUUUUAGAAUCAACAUAUGUUAGUCGCAUAUCUCAAAAUCAUAAUGAUUUGCUAAACAUUAUUAGCCUUAAUCAAGUUCUUUUAUGUUCUUAAAAUUUUCUUAUUUCUCAACACUAAUCUAAAUAAACUCCUCAGUCAGCCAGCUUUGAUGAACCUCAGAAUAGUCUGCAUUGAACGAAUGCUUACUACGCAGUAGAAUUCCUUUUUGCAAGCUAAUUGUAUCAAACAAAAUCUCAUUAUAUAAAAAUGUUGGCUAUGCUCAACGUCAAGAAAUCAGAGUAUCACAUUUACAGCUUUAUAUUUUGUAUUUCAAUCUGAUAAAGCUACCCAAAUGUAUGCCCAUCUCAGGUGCUUAUGAUGCCGAUCACGCAUGGAUUCAUCUCCUAAACAAGAUUGUUGCUGGAGUUUCAUAAUCUGCUUGUAAACUUAUGACUAUGAUGUAGAAUCUGACUUUUGAUCAGAAUCAGCUGCGGCCUGGACUUGAGCUGCAU
rnacentral:lncRNA from 1 species